rnacentral:lncRNA from 1 species
GAGAUGUAAUGACUCAGGAGCUAACUUACUAGAGAAAAGCAAGAGAUGGGUGUUGAUAAAGAAGAGUACUACAUAUAUAUACCAAAAAAUCGUGUCUAGUUUAUUCUUUUCCAAUAAGUGCAUGAAAGGAAAGAAGAGGGCUAUAGAGACAAUAGAAAAGGUGAAUGGGUGACUAGAAAGAGGAGGACACCGGUACUUGUGUUGCCCUCUA